AUGAAAAAAUGAAUUUAUUCCUACCCUUACGUUCUCAGGCAACCAAGUGACGUCAACAACGUCGAGGAAACGUCAGUAUUUGGUGGAAUAUAUACACGUGGUUGAACAUUACGUCAUAUCGACGUCUUUUGUAGGUGAUUUUAAAUACGUAAGAUUAAUGACGUUAAAAUAACGUUUAAAAUACGUUUUCAUUUCAGCCAGCCUAAGUCUGACGUCACGAAAUUGGGAGGAGCUUGGAACUUAAAAGUUACAAAACUAAGGUUAUGUUUGUAUAUUUGUUUGUAUCGUCGUUGUCGUUUCAUUUCAUUUCAUUGUUUGUUUGUCCUAGUAUUUUGUUUUGGAUUCAUUUGGAUUUUGUUGGCUGUUUUGUGUGUAUUUUUUAAAACUUUUGUUUGUCAUUUGUAAGUUUUAUAAAUUUACCACAAUGCAAACCGCAGAUGUUUUAGAAAGAUAUUCAUUGAAGCUGAAAAUAAUUAGAGAUUUAGAUCCAUAUACAAUUCAGUCAUCAGAAUUGGAUUUUACAGUGCAUUCCAUCAAUUACCUACUGUUAUAAUGCUAUUCUAGAUAGACUGGUACAGUCUCACACAUCAGAUGAAAGCAUACAAAAGCCUUCAGGCACAUAAAAGUCUUCACAACUGGAUUUGUUUUGAAACAUUUGAUGUUUUGAUGAUUUCUAUAUUAUUGUUGAAAAGGUGAAGAAUUCCCAAAAAUCUAAAGCUAAACCACUAGAUGCUUGGGUGAUAGCCAGUUCCAAUGGCAUAGCAAAUGCACAUUGUAUGUGGAUGGCCGGUAAUAGUGAAGUUUGCAGCCAUAUUGCAGCAAUCUUAUUUGCAGCUGAGUAUGCCCACAGCAAGACAGAAGAAGAAGAACCCAAUGCAUGUACAGAUGUUACAGCUAUGUACAUUCUCUGGUAAAAAACUAAUUAGUUUUCAAACUGUUCGGUCAGAGUGCUUGUUGCACUCUCUAAACGAACUGAAAUGAUAAGAUGGCUUUGGCUUCAUGUUGCAGCGAUAUGAAAAUGGUUAGUCAUUUUUAAUUAUAAUGUACUUCUUCAUCAUGAGUAUUUAUGUAUAGGGCUUUUCAUUCACAGUCAUUUGUUUCGAGCUUCUGUCAUGUGUCACAUAAUAUUAAUAUAUCUACGUCAUACGUUAUUGGUAUAUACCAAUUUAUUUAUUUAUUUAUCGUAUGGCACCUGACACAUUUACAUUUACAUACACACCAAAGACAUAUGGCGUAGAUAUAUUAAUAUUAUGUGACACAUGACAGAUGCUCGAAACAAAUGACAGUCGAUAAAAAGCCCUAUUAGUCUUUUAAGUGUGUAUUAUCAGAUAUACAUGUAAAUUGUUUUUAUCAUUAUAAUUUGGUCAUUACAGUCCCUUAAUCAAAAAAUAUAUUUUUCAGGUGUCUGUGGAUCUUUUUGUAUGCAAAAAUUUGUAAUAAUUAUUUGAAAUCGUUUUGAGGAUUAUAAGAGUAUGGAAAUAUAUGUGAGAACACAGACUAUUAUA